rnacentral:rRNA from 1 species
UACGUAGGGGGCUAGCGUUGUCCGGAAUCAUUGGGCGUAAAGCGCGUGUAGGCGGUCCGGUAAGUCCGCUGUGAAAGUCGGGGGCUCAACCCUCGGAUGCCGGUGGAGUACUGUCGGGCUUGAGUACGGAAGAGGCGAGUGGAAUUCCUGGUGUAGCGGUGAAAUGCGCAGAUAUCAGGAGGAACACCAAUUGCGAAGGCAGCACUCUGGGACGUGACUGACGGCUGAGACGCGAAAGCGUGGGGAGCAAACAGG